rnacentral:rRNA from 1 species
GACGAACGCUGGCGGCGUGCUUAACACAUGCAAGUCGAACGGAAAGGCCCUGCUUGCAGGGUACUCGAGUGGCGAACGGGUGAGUAACACGUGGGUGAUCUGCCCUGCACUUCGGGAUAAGCCUGGGAAACUGGGUCUAAUACAGGAUAGGAGCCAUUUUUAGUGUGAUGGUUGGAAAGUUUUUUCGGUGUAGGAUGAGCUCGCGGCCUAUCAGCUUGUUGGUGGGGUAAUGGCCUACCAAGGCGGCGACGGGUAGCCGGCCUGAGAGGGUGGACGGCCACAUUGGGACUGAGAUACGGCCCAGACUCCUACGGGAGGCAGCAGUGGGGAAUAUUGCACAAUGGGCGCAAGCCUGAUGCAGCGACGCCGCGUGGGGGAUGACGGCCUUCGGGUUGUAAACUCCUUUCGCUAGGGACGAAGCUUUUUGUGACGGUACCUAGAUAAGAAGCACCGGCUAACUACGUG